CUCACCUGGACAUGUCCCCCCAGAGCUGCUACCCUCAGCCCUCUCUUCUGAUUGGCCUACAGGGAGGAGGGAGGGGUGAAUGGAGGUACGGGGAGGGAGGUACAUGGAGGGGAGGCAGACGGGUAAAAGGAGGGGAGAUGCAGACAGGUAAAGGGAGGGGAGAUGCAGACAGACGGGUAACAGGAGGGGAGACACAGACGGGUUAAGGGAAUGGAGAUGCAGGGAGGGAGGGAGAUACAGGGAGGGAGAUACAGGGAGGAGCGAACGGUCAACACACCCAGGAUUCUCCUUUAGCCACGCAGGAAGCCCCGCCCCCCUCAAGUCCCCACACCUCUAACCAGCAGACGAGCCACCCAGCGCACACACACACACACACACACACACACACACACACACACACACACACACACACACACACACACACACACACACACACACACACACACACACACACACACACACACACACACACACACACACACACCAACACACCAACAAACUCGAAAA